rnacentral:rRNA from 1 species
UAAUACGUAGGGAGCAAGCGUUGUUCGGAAUUACUGGGCGUAAAGAGAACGUAGGCGGGAAGGUAAGUUAGAAGUGAAAUGUAUCGGCUCAACCGGUGAACUGCUUUUAAUACUGCUUUUCUUGAGUAUGGGAGAGGAAGAUGGAAUUCCAGGUGUAGCGGUGGAAUGCGUAGAUAUCUGGAAGAACACCAGUUGCGAAGGCGGUCUUCUGGCCCAAUACUGACGCUGAGGUUCGAAAGCUAGGGGAGCGAACAGGAUUAGAUACCCUGGUAGUCCUAGCCGUAAACGAUGGAUACUAGAUGUCGGGGAUGUUGUGUCUUCGGUAUCGAAGCUAACGCAUUAAGUAUCCCGCCUGGGGAGUACGCUCGCAAGAGUG